CAACUCCUCAUCUCAUGCUUAUCUUCCCGAACCCCUCUCACAACUCCUCAUCUCAUGCCUAUCUUCCCGAACCCCUCUCAUGCCCUCUCCUUCCAACUCCUCCUCUCAUGUCCUCUCCAUCCAACUCCUCUCCAGCAAACCCCUCUCCGUCGAACUCCUCUCCACGAACCUCCUCUCCUCUGAAUUCCUUCACCUCUUCGUCAAAUAGCAAAUGCCCUAAUCACUCCGCUCUUGGAUCGCCGCCUCCGCACUAGAUCUACUCGCCGGUGGUUUCCUCUCCAGAAAUGGCAAAUGCUUGGAUUUCAAGAGCAUCAAAGUAUCGGAGUUCAGUUUGGAAGGUUAGCGACAAACGGCCAGGUUAUAAUGGCAGUGACUCAGAUUCUGAUGAGGAGAAGAUUAACAUCAAAUCAUCAGCAGAAGGACCUGGUUCAUAAGUUUACAGAAGCGGAGUAUUCUCGAGAAGAAAUUGAUGAGGUGCGAUCGGAGUUGGCAGAAUGUAUACAAGAUCAUAUUUAUGAGUAGAUACACAGUGGUAGGUGUUUGUCCCAGUCUCAAGCCGUCAAUCCAUUUUGAUCAAUAUAUCUAGUAGAAGUAACCAUGCAGAUCGUUGUCUUCGAGGUUGUCUAACUAUUUUGUGCUUUUUUUAUUUUAAAUUUGAAUGUCACUAACUAC